rnacentral:rRNA from 1 species
UACGUAGGGUGCGAGCGUUGUCCGGAAUUAUUGGGCGUAAAGGGCUCGUAGGCGGUUUGUCGCGUCGGGAGUGAAAACCAGGUGCUUAACACCUGGCUUGCUUUCGAUACGGGCAGACUAGAGGUAUUCAGGGGAGAACGGAAUUCCUGGUGUAGCGGUGAAAUGCGCAGAUAUCAGGAGGAACGCCGGUGGCGAAGGCGGUUCUCUGGGCAUUACCUGACGCUGAGGAGCGAAAGUGUGGGGAGCGAACAGG